rnacentral:rRNA from 1 species
CCUACGGGCGGCAGCAGUGGGGAAUAUUGCACAAUGGGCGCAAGCCUGAUGCAGCCAUGCCGCGUGUGUGAAGAAGGCCUUCGGGUUGUAAAGCACUUUCAGCGGGGAGGAAGGCGGUGAGGUUAAUAACCUCAUCGAUUGACGUUACCCGCAGAAGAAGCACCGGCUAACUCCGUGCCAGCAGCCGCGGUAAUACGGAGGGUGCAAGCGUUAAUCGGAAUUACUGGGCGUAAAGCGCACGCAGGCGGUCUGUCAAGUCGGAUGUGAAAUCCCCGGGCUCAACCUGGGAACUGCAUUCGAAACUGGCAGGCUAGAGUCUUGUAGAGGGGGGUAGAAUUCCAGGUGUAGCGGUGAAAUGCGUAGAGAUCUGGAGGAAUACCGCUGGCGAAGGCGGCCCCCUGGACAAAGACUGACGCUCAGGUGCGAAAGCGUGGGGAGCAAACAGGAUUAGAUACCCGAGUAGUC